rnacentral:tRNA from 1 species
AACUAUGUAGUCAAAGUUGAUGAUAUUAAAUUGCAAAUUUAAAGUUAAGUUAUUUUAUAGUUU